rnacentral:rRNA from 1 species
GACGAACGCUGGCGGCGUGCCUAAUACAUGCAAGUCGAACGAGAGCAACCGGUGCUUGCACUGGUCAAUCUAGUGGCGAACGGGUGAGUAACACGUGGGUAACCUGCCCAUCAGAGGGGGAUAACAUCCGGAAACGGAUGCUAAAACCGCAUAGGUCUUCGAACCGCAUGGUUUGAAGAGGAAAAGAGGCGCAAGCUUCUGCUGAUGGAUGGACCCGCGGUGCAUUAGCUAGUUGGUGAGGUAACGGCUCACCAAGGCCGUGAUGCAUAGCCGACCUGAGAGGGUGAUCGGCCACAUUGGGACUGAGGCACGGCCCAAACUCCUACGGGAGGCAGCAGUAGGGAAUCUUCCGCAAUGGACGCAAGUCUGACGGAGCAACGCCGCGUGAGUGAAGAAGGUUUUCGGAUCGUAAAACUCUGUUGUUAGAGAAGAACAAGUGCUAGAGUAACUGUUAGCGCCUUGACGGUAUCUAACCAGAAAGCCACGGCUAACUACGUG